UACGUAGGGUGCGAGCGUUGUCCGGAAUUAUUGGGCGUAAAGGGCUCGUAGGCGGUCUGUUGCGUCGGGAGUGAAAACUCAGGGCUUAACCCUGAGCCUGCUUCCGAUACGGGCAGACUAGAGGUAUGCAGGGGAGAACGGAAUUCCUGGUGUAGCGGUGAAAUGCGCAGAUAUCGGGAAGAACACCUGUGGCGAAGGCGGCUCUCUGGGACGGUACUGACGCUGAGACGCGAAAGCGUGGGGAGCAAACAGG
rnacentral:rRNA from 1 species